CGGACGGGUGAGUAAUGUCUGGGAAACUGCCUGAUGGAGGGGGAUAACUACUGGAAACGGUAGCUAAUACCGCAUAACGUCGCAAGACCAAAGAGGGGGACCUUAGGGCCUCUUGCCAUCGGAUGUGCCCAGAUGGGAUUAGCUAGUAGGUGGGGUAACGGCUCACCUAGGCGACGAUCCCUAGCUGGUCUGAGAGGAUGCCAGCCACACUGGAACUGAGACACGGUCCAG
rnacentral:rRNA from 1 species